GACGAACGCUGGCGGCGUGCCUAAUACAUGCAAGUCGAACGCUGAAGGAGGAGCUUGCUUCUCUGGAUGAGUUGCGAACGGGUGAGUAACGCGUAGGUAACCUGCCUGGUAGCGGGGGAUAACUAUUGGAAACGAUAGCUAAUACCGCAUAAGAGUAGAUGUCGCAUGACAUUUGCUUAAAAGGUGCAAUUGUAUCACUACCAGAUGGACCUGCGUUGUAUUAGCUAGUUGGUGAGGUAACGGCUCACUCAGGCAACGAUACAUACCCGAACUGUGAGGGUGGUCAGCCAGACUGGGACUGAGACACGGCCCAUGCUCCUACAGGAGGCAGCAGGAGUGAAUCUUCAGCAAUGGGCGGAAGUCUGACCGAGCAACGCCGCGGGAGUGAAGAAGGUUUUCGGGUCGUAAAGCUCUGUUGUAAGGGAAGAACGAGUGUGAGAGUGGAAAGUUCACACUGUGACGGUAUCUUACCAGAAAGGGACGGCUAACUACGUG
rnacentral:rRNA from 1 species